UAAUUGAUCACUGAGUGCUGCUCUCCAGCCCCCUUUUCCCUCCAUGGUUUCUCUCCGCUCCCGUGAGUAACUUGGCUCCGGGUGCUCCACUCGCCUGCCCGCACGCCACCAGCCGCAAAGGACCGCGCCGGCCUCCGCUGCAAGCAAACCCUUCCGACGGCCCUCGCUGCGCAGACCGGGACACCUCUCCACCUUUCGCCCCCGCCGCGGAAAGCUAAGUUUGAAGAGCGGGGAAGAGGGGAGCAUGGACAUGAAGAGGAGAAUCCACCUGGAGCUGAGGAACCGGACCCCGGCAGUAGUUCGAGAACUUGUCUUGGACAAUUGCAAAUCAAAUGAUGGAAAAAUUGAGGGCUUAACUGAAUUUGUGAACUUAGAGUUCCUCAGUUUAAUAAAUGUAGGCUUGAUUUCAGUAUCAAAUCUCCCUAAGCUGCCUAAAUUGAAAAAGCUUGAACUCAGUGAAAAUAGAAUCUUUGGAGGUCUAGACAUGUUAGCUGAAAACCUUCCAAAUCUCACACAACUAAACUUAAACUGAAAGAUAUCAGCACCCUGGAACCUUUGAAAAAGUUAGAAUGUCUGAAAACCCUGGACCUCUUUAACUGUGAGGAUACUAACCUGAAUGACUACCGAGAGAGUGUCUUCAAGCUCCUGCCCCAGCUUACCUACUUGGAUGGCUAUGACCGAGAGGACCAGGAAGUACCUGACUCAGAUGCCAGGUGGAUGGUGUGGAUAAAGAGGAGGAGGAUGAAGAAGGAGAAGAUGAGGAGGAUGAGGAUGGUGAAGAAGAGGAGUUUGAUGAAGAUGUAUGUGAUUACGAUGGAGUCAGUGAGGAGGAAGAAGAAUUUGGACUUGAAGAAGAUGAAGAUGAGGAUGAGGAUGAAGAGGAGGAAGAAGGUGGGAGAGGUGAAAAGAGGAAGAGAGAAACAGAUGAUGAGGGAGAAGAUGAUUAAGACCCCAGACGACCUGCAGAAACAGAACUGUUCAGUAUUGUUUGGACUGCUCAUGGAUUUGGUAGCUGUUGAAAAAAAAAAGGUAGCUGUGAUACAAACCCCAGGGCACCCACCUGGGGGUGACAUUCCACCUUCCUUCAAUGUAGUCCCUCUUGGUAAUCUACCACCAAGCUUGUGGACUUCACCCCAACAAGAUUGUAAGCAUUUUUAGGUUCUUGUGUAAGACUCUUGCUGUAGCAUGGAUAGCUGUGAUUGGUCAGUCAACCGUCUGAGGCUACCAGUUACACCGAGACCGUAACAGCACUUUUACUUUCUGUACAAUAAAAAUGCUCUGUAAAUAAAAUCUUAACAUUUUG